UUACCAGUACUCCAUCUCUCUCAGGCCGGGAGAGAAGCUCCCAUCCAAAUGAACAACACCCAUGUGGAAAAUACAUACUGUAUAGACCCUUUCAACAAGAUGCUUGGGGUUUGGUGUUCUGCCACAACGGGAAGCCUUAGCUCCAGUUCCAACUGAUGAUGCACUGUUUACCCAACAAGGUCUACGAUAAUCAACAGGUCAGGAUGGACGAAGGGGAAAAUUCACAUGGAGGGAAGCGGUGCUACCCUGGGCUGGAUAACUGCAGUUUCAGAUAGAGGACCUGAUGAUGUAAUUACACAACCGAAGAGCUGGAAGCUGGAUCUAACGCUUUAGGUAAUUCUGGGCUCCAAUCACAAGGUCACCUUGGAUAGGCCUAUGAGAGCCAAGCUGAAGCAGAUGACGAGGAAGCUCAAAGAAGAGGACAAGGAGACGAUUGGUUACUGGCAUAAAAAAGACAAGGAGGACAAGGCUGGCAUGGAUUACAGGAAGAAGAUGGUCGAGAGAGACCAGGCAUAAACCUAGUCAGCCUGCUUUGGUGCUUGUUAUGGUGGCUUAAAGACAGUCGGGAAUGUAGCAUAACUCUGCAGUACAUAAGGCAGUGGUCCCCAAACUACUGCCCGCCACCUCAUUUUGGGUGGCCCCCCAAAACAUGUCCGUGGUUAUAUAGCAACCGGCCCGCACGGGAGUACGACAUCGUCAAACUAUAACCUCCG